rnacentral:lncRNA from 1 species
GUCAGGCUGGUAGAAUCCUGGUGUACUUGAGAUCAAAAGGGAAUCCCGGUGUACUUGCUGUCAACUUCAUGGUUCUGUAGGAACCAGGAUAUGCCAAGACGCUUCAAAAAGAAUCAAAUACCGGAUGAAAAAAAAUACUUGUCAUGGAUCUGAAAGUAAAAGAAAGAUAGAGCCAAUACUGACAGGCUUUCGUGAGCAUGCAUGCAAGCCAGGACAAGGGCAGAUAGGCUGCAUGGCUACAUGCAAGCAUGCUCCCAAAAGGAGGGAAAAGUUAACAGCUAGCUUUCUAUCACAAAUGUCAACCCUACUACUACUAGCUAGCCAACCCCACUACUACCCCCGGACCCCAGUUCUGUAGCCAAGAACAAUAAUUUCUUGGAGGUUUUCUGAUUCGUCCCCUUCCUCCUGUCACUGUGCCCCC